AGCGAACGCUGGCGGCAGGCCUAACACAUGCAAGUCGAACGAAGUCUUCGGACUUAGUGGCGGACGGGUGAGUAACACGUGGGAACGUGCCUUUAGGUUCGGAAUAACUCAGGGAAACUUGUGCUAAUACCGAAUGUGCCCUUCGGGGGAAAGAUUUAUCGCCUUUAGAGCGGCCCGCGUCUGAUUAGCUAGUUGGUGAGGUAACGGCUCACCAAGGCGACGAUCAGUAGCUGGUCUGAGAGGAUGACCAGCCACACUGGGACUGAGACACGGCCCAGACUCCUACGGGAGGCAGCAGUGGGGAAUCUUGCGCAAUGGGCGAAAGCCUGACGCAGCCAUGCCGCGUGAAUGAUGAAGGUCUUAGGAUUGUAAAAUUCUUUCACCGGGGACGAUAAUGACGGUACCCGGAGAAGAAGCCCCGGCUAACUUCGUGCCAGCCGCCGCUGUAAAAC
rnacentral:rRNA from 1 species